rnacentral:rRNA from 1 species
CAAGCACGACAAGGUUAAUUCGAGUGGUUUCUGCUAAAGGAAUCUUUUGCUAGUUCUAAAAACACUAAUGAAUAAGGGGUGGGCAAGUUCUGGUGUCAGCCGCCGCGGUAAAACCAGCACCUCAAGUGGUCAGGAGGAUUAUUGGGCCUAAAGCAUCCGUAGCCGGUUCUGUAAGUUUUCGGUUAAAUCCAUUAGCUCAACUAAUGGGCUGCCGGGAAUACUGCAGAACUAGGGAGUGGGAGAGGUAGACGGUACUCGGUAGGAAGGGGUAAAAUCCUUUGAUCUAUUGAUGACCACCUGUGGCGAAGGCGGUCUACCAGAACACGUUCGACGGUGAGGGAUGAAAGCUGGGGGAGCAAACCGGAUUAGAUACCCGGGUAGUCCCAGCUGUAAACGAUGCAAACUCGGUGAUGAACUGGCUUGUGGCCUAUGCAGUGCCGCAGGGAAGCCGUUAAGUCUGCC